UUAUUAGAACAGAACAAAAUGGGCACAAGGAGAUCUCCCGUAGGCAAUGAUCACAGCAGUUUAUGCAAGACUUUCUGCAAGAGUUGGGAAUGUCUUCUGAGUUUGGCUGAACUUCUGUAAGCACACUUUUGUUCAUUAAUGUACAGCUUCACAGUUUCUUAUCUAACAAAAGGGGCUUUCCACCAUUCUAUGUGAUGACAUCACUUUCUCCAGCACAGACACAAAAAUAUUUGUUAGAUGUUCAUCUUAAUUAAAGAGAGGGAGAGGAAAUCUCAAUAAAUCAGUAAUCUGCUGCUCUAUGAAUCAGGAAUGCUUCCCUUUGCUGAAGAAGAUGAGCUUUAACAUGUGAUACAGGUGUCAGAUUGGAUUAAAUAUUAUGAAAUAAGGAGUGAAAUAGGGAGCAAAAUUAUGAUAUGUGUCACGAAAUACUGUCAGCAACAUUUUAGAGAUGGGAAAGAGGGACCCUGAGGACUGAAUUCACAAGAGCUGAAUCUGAAACACAACCAACUUCCAUGCCAGUUGUGACUUGCCCUAGAUUAUGCACCAUCCAACUGACAAGUGACCGGGGGCCUCCUGCAGCCAAGUCCUACAGAUUUCUUCUGACAAAUUUUCCUGCUAAGAAGGCAAGUGUGGGAAG
ensembl:lncRNA